UACGGGGGGAGCAAGCGUUGUUCGGAUUUACUGGGCGUAAAGGGCGCGUAGGCGGUCGUGACAAGUCACUUGUGAAAUCUCCGGGCUUAACUCGGAACGGCCAAGUGAUACUGUCGUGCUAGAGUGCGGAAGGGGCUACUGGAAUUCUCGGUGUAGCGGUGAAAUGCGUAGAUAUCGAGAGGAACACCUGCGGCGAAGGCGGGUAGCUGGGCCAUAACUGACGCUGAGGAGCGAAAGCGUGGGGAGCAAACAGG
rnacentral:rRNA from 1 species